UACGUAGGGGGCAAGCGUUGUCCGGAUUUAUUGGGCGUAAAGAGCUCGUAGGCGGUUUGUCGCGUCUGCUGUGAAAACGCGAGGCUCAACCUCGCGCCUGCAGUGGGUACGGGCAGACUAGAGUGCGGUAGGGGAGAUUGGAAUUCCUGGUGUAGCGGUGGAAUGCGCAGAUAUCAGGAGGAACACCGAUGGCGAAGGCAGAUCUCUGGGCCGUAACUGACGCUGAGGAGCGAAAGCAUGGGGAGCGAACAGG
rnacentral:rRNA from 1 species